rnacentral:ncRNA from 1 species
GCAGAGUAGGAUGGUAAGCGCAAAGUGCCUGCGGAACGGGGAGUUGUCGGCAGGACGAAAAGCGGUGAAAACAAACGCUUGUGGUUUACCCUCCGCAUCCCGCUGC